AGGUAAAUUGCAUACAACCAUUUGUUAAACUUGUAAUUUCACUUGUAGUUUUGGACUUUUUUUUUUCCUUCCUCCUUUUCAUAGGACAUCCCAAAGCAGCCUACUAGUUCAGUAGACUGUGGAAUUUACAUGUUGAUGGUAUUUAAUUAUUAAUUAUAGGUUUUAUGUAACCUUUCAUUUGUGUUUAGAUUGUGUGUUAUUUCAGUUCUUUUUCUCGUGUCCUCUGUUAGUAUGCACUUUAUCUAUCUGACCAUGGAGGAACCCUUUGAUUUUACUGCUGUAAGUCCUUUAAAGAUGCUGAUAUAUACAUUUCUUUCUUCAUAUGUGGCAUACUUUUAACCGUGGCAUUCACUGAUAUAUCCUUUUUAUCUUAGGAUGCCAUGCCUGCUAUUAGAAAGUGGUGGUGUUUGGUUGUUCUGGAGAACAGCUCGUAUGGGUGGUACAGUAAAUAUUUAGUGUUUCCUUUUUGUUUUGUUAACAAUUUAUCCCAUAAUUUUAUGUGGCCAUGUCCUAUGGUCUGGUUUAGUGGGUGCCAGAUGACCUGUGCCUUCUUAGAAUAAUUUACAGAUAUUGGUACUUGUUCUGAGUGUGGGUACCCUGCUUUUGGAGAUGCUCCUUUUUGGGAUGCUUGGACAAUCAAAGGUGACACCUCACAUCCUACCAGGGAAAAACAGUUUAAAUAAGCUUGGAAUUUCAAUUUUUUAAUGUCUAAAUGAGGUCAUAUAGUGUUACUUUAAAUACACCAGUGUGUGUUUUGGUAUAUACAGGUAAACUUUUACUGGCACUCUUUUCUCUGUUAAAUGAAUAACAUCAAUAUUUUAAUGUCUAAAAGUCAGGACCAAGAAGAUCAUGGCAGCAGUGAACUUGUUGAGGAAUAUACAGAUACAGCCACAUCAAGUGUACAAGAGCAGGCUGGCUGUGUGGCUUGGCUCAGGUUUUUGCAGCUGCAGAGAUCAGCAGGGCCUACAGGAGGACUCCACAUGAAAAACUGUUAGAGUUCAUAAUAAAGGACGAUGGAGCAGAUGAUCACUUGCUGGCUGUUGUAUCUCGUAAGGUAUCGUCCAAAUGGUUAAAAAAUUAUGAAAAUCCUAAAGGUCACCAGGUAAUGACUUAUAUAGAAGAUGAUGAGCUGAUAGAUGGCCUCUACAACUUCUUGGAUGAAGUGCUGUCACGAGCUGUAGGCCCUUUUGAGAGGAUUGACAGAGUUCACAUCAUUCUGGAUGUGCUGAUGCCAGAGACAGUUGAGAGUAUUUCUCUGCCAGAGGCUGAAAAUCUGUUCAUGGAUGGACCAGCAUACAUGAGAGGGAAGAGUUUGCCAUACUUGUUUUACAACAGUUGGGAGCACAAAGAAAGCACCACUGAUGCAUUUAAACUCAGGAUUACAUCUCAACCCGACUCAAAUAAAUGUGUCUCUUUCUUUACUUCUCUUUUGCCUUUUUUAUUUGUGUGUUAAAAUGACUGUGCAUA